AUCGAUUGCUUUUGUCUCCGCCCACUUACCGGGGGAAAUGGCGGUCUUUUCCUCAUUCGAGUCAACUUCCGGCCCACUGUUGUGAUUCUCAUCCCCCUCUCCCAGAAACCCAGCUGAAGUGAAUGAGAGUGGAGCUGAUGGAUUGCACCCUGAGUCAUGCAUGACUUAGCAUCUCGUUUGCUUCCCCCAGCUGGCAGAGACGUUGGAACAACGGCGGGAUUUACACAGACACAGAGUUUGGGGAUUGUAUUGGGAGCUCGUGACUGGUAGGAGAGCAAACAAAGAGUGGAGGUGUCGAGAUGAAACGGUUAAAUGGAAUAGAGUCGCCCCAAAUGAAAAAACCUGGAGCAGCGAGGAGAACAACAACAUCAACGUUUGGUCAUAAAGGCAAGG